GCUGCAAAGAGAUUUUUAAAAUGUAACACAUAUUUGAUGUUCCAAACUGGCGUUCAUUUUGUAAUAAAGUACGAAGAUAUUUUUGAUUGGGUAAAUACAUAGAGUGGAAAUAUGCAUGCGGUGCGCAUCUGACAUUCGCCGGCACUAGCAAAGUCUAUGGUAUCAGCCGGCGUCCAUGAUGUGUUUGUUUUCAUCUGAAUUGUAUUGGCUACGUUUGAAAUGAUUGGGAUGUUGUAGAGUUUGAUUCCAGUGUUUCAUUAAAGGAACAUUUCGUCUCGUGUAGUUUGCAGAUAACUUUUCUAACAGAAAUGCCAUACGUAAUUGUACGUGGAACUCUAGGAAUGGCUAACACUAAGGUGUAUGGUCUCCCUUUGCAAGAAGCUGAUCUAAUAAGUUCGCAUAUGCGACCAGGUCCAACGAAUUCAAAUAAAGAUGAAAUAACCUUAUAUAACUCUGCAGUUUAUGUGUUAAAUCAGUUGGAAUAUUAUUUCGGCUACAGAGUAAUUACCUCUGCUUGCCAGGGCGAUUCCGGUCAACCAAUUUGGACAAUGUCUAAACACCAUUAAUCGAGGCCUGCAAGGAAGAAAUGUGAACAUAAUGCAAGUUGAGCAUGAAGUUGAAGCUACAAUUAAGAAACUGCAGCUGUGGGCAGUAUGAGUACGGAGCAAUAACGAUUCAUCAUUUCCUCUGCUCGGAGACUUUGUCAAUUCUUUGGGUGAAUAACUCUCUGCUGGAGUGCAGAACGCUUGACAAGAACAGCUAUUGGAACUAUCCUGCAAUACUUCAUGGAAAAAUGUUUUUAAGGAAAAGGAACUUCAUAGCUUUUGGUUGCAUAUGCAGUCAUCCGACUUUAGGGCCAUAUAUUGGGCAGAUGUGGUGUAAAGACUAUUUAUAAACAGGUGAAGAAGAUAAGAGAAUGUCGCAGUUCAUGAAAUUUAUGAACAUGACAAUACUUUCAUCAAGAAAGAAGAAAGCUUCAAGCUAUUAUGUUUCAUCAGAGCGGAUUCUGAGAGUAUAUCUACAUUACACUUAGAAGGCUCCUGACUGCAGAGUGCAGAAAAUCCUGAUGAGGAGGAGAAUAUUACUACAGUAAAUAAAGUGAAGUUUGUGUGUUCACCAGAGACAGUCUUACUACGCUGUACCACAUAAUAAGAUACAAGCAAAUCAUAAACUCCUGGACACAUUUGAGAAGUAUUCUUAAUAUGACCCCAAUAAGGAUUUAAACAAUAUGAUGUAGAAAUUAUGCUCAAAACAUAGUAAUAGUUAAACACAUUGCAUAGAAAUUCUUGUUUCCUUUAGAAAAUAGUGUAUAAUAAAUAGAAAAAUAGCCAUUUAUGAAGUUUGUGCAAAUUACACUGACUGUAUUUCCAUUUUUUUAGUCUUUUGUCUCAUUCUAGAAUUGUGACAUCAAUAAUAUUAAAUAAGUAAGAUUCCAUAUAGUGAAUAUUGUGGAAUAUUGUAAACCAUAUUUCUUAUAAAUAAGUAAAGUUUUAUUUCCUGUUUUAUUUUAUGAUUUAUUCCUCAGCGAAUAGAGUUAUAAUGAGGCAGAGUUGUGCCUGUAACUUGGUUCAGCAUCUCAUUACAGAACUCUUGUUAAGGAAAGGAUUUCCAAAAACUACUGUCAAAUAAAGAAAGAUUAAGUGUA